CGGGACGGGUGAGUAAUGUCUGGGAAACUGCCUGAGGGAGGGGGAUAACUACUGGAAACGGUAGCUAAUACCGCAUAACGUCGCAAGACCAAAGAGGGGACCUUAGGGCCUCUUGCCAUCGGAUGUGCCCAGAUGGGAUUAGCUAGUAGGUGGGGUAACGGCUCACCUAGGCGACGAUCCCUAGCUGGUCUGAGAGGAUGACCAGCCACACUGGAACUGAGACACGGUCCAG
rnacentral:rRNA from 1 species